rnacentral:rRNA from 1 species
GAUGAACGCUAGCGGCAGGCUUAAUACAUGCAAGUCGAGGGGCAGCAUGGUGUAGCAAUACACUGAUGGCGACCGGCAAACGGGUGCAGAACACGUACGCAACCUUCCCAAAACUGGUGAAUAGCCCUCCGAAAGGAGGAUUAAUACACCGUAACAUAUAGAUGUGGCAUCACUACUAUAUUAUAGUCUUAACGGUUUUGGAUGGGCGUGCGCCUGAUUAGGUAGUUGGCGGGGUAACGGCCCACCAAGCCUGCGAUCAGUAACUGGUGUGAGAGCACGACCAGGCACACGGGCACUGAGACACGGGCCCGACUCCUACGGGAGGCAGCAGUAAGGAAUAUUGGUCAAUGGACGAAAGUCUGAACCAGCCAUGCCGCGUGAAGGAUGAAGGCCCUCUGGGUUGUAAACUUCUUUUAUCUGGGACGAAAAAAGGGAAUUCUUUCCCACUUGACGGUACCAGAGGAAUAAGCACCGGCUAACUCCGUGCCAGCCGCCGCCGUAA